GACGAACGCUGGCGGCGUGCUUAACACAUGCAAGUCGAACGGAAAGGCCUGCUUUCCCUUGUGGAUUGCGGGUACUCGAGUGGCGAACGGGUGAGUAACACGUGAGUGAUCUGCCCCCAACUUGGGUAUAAGCCUGGGAAACUGGGUCUAAUUCCCGAUAGGACUGCAGGGUGGUGCCUGCGGUGGAAAACGAUUUUCUAGUGGUUGGGGAUGAGCUCGCGGCCUAUCAGCUUGUUGGUGGGGUAAUGGCCUACCAAGGCGGCGACGGGUAGCCGGCCUGGGAGGGUGGACGGCAACAUUGGGACUGAGAUACGGCCCAGACUCCUACGGGAGGCAGCAGUGGGGAAUAUGGCACAAUGGGCGGAAGCCUGAUGCAGCGACGCCGCGUGGGGGAUGACGGCCUUCGGGUUGUAAACUCCUUUCGACCGCGAGGAAGCCACCUGGCUGGAAGGGUGGUGACGGUAGUGGUAGAAGAAGCACCGGCUAACUACGUG
rnacentral:rRNA from 1 species